ACAUCGUGUCCCAGGAUCCUACAGCAAAUAAAUGAUAAAGCAAACAACACAUGAGCUAUUAGAAAAUCAAUGCAAAACUAGAAAAUAAGAAGUAAAUCCCAUCUCCAGGAGAUAAUUUGGCAGCUGGAUGGGAAUCAUCAUUGCUUCAUGGCACAAUGGCGUACAAAGAUGUUAACUCCAAGCCUUUCAAUUUCAGAAGUCCUGGUCCAGAUGUAAGACAGAAAAGUUUUAACAAAAUGGGUGAUUAGAUAGAUCUCCUGUGUUUCCAGCAGCCAUCCCAACCCUUAGUCUGCUAUCCCCAUGCCAUUAUCCAGAUUUAAAGACUUGAGAUGAGAGAGAAGAGAGUAGAACAGAUUAGAAAACAAGAUGUUCAUAGGACUUUUAAGAGGUCUCUUACUGAACCCUCACAUUGACUAGCUCCAAAUUAAGGCAUUGAUAGGACUCACAUAAACCUUUGAGAUGUAAGAAUGUAAAGGACCAGAAAAUUGUCUGAAUCAAAAAGGUCCACUGAAUAGUAAGUUUAUUUAAAAAAAAAAAGUCUACAUAUAAACACCUCAUACAUGAAAUGGUCAAAGUGAGAAUCCUAAAAGCCCCAAAUCAGCAAUGAUCACCUUCAAAGUGACAAGGAUGGGGAUGGCACCAUAAUGGAGAGAUAAAGUGGAAGCCAGGCAGCUUUCGAAUAGUAGCUUUAUUUAUUUAUUUAUUAUUUUUAAUUUCAAUAGGUUUUUGGGGAACAGGUGGUGUUUGGUUACAUGAUAAGUUCUUUAGCGGUGAUUUCUGAGAUUUUGGGGCACCCAUCAUCCAAGCGGUGUAUACUAUACCCAACGUGUAGCCUUUUAUCUCCUGCCACCCCCCACCCUUUCGCCCGAGUCCCCAAAGUCCAGUGGAUCGUUCUUGUGCCUUUGCAUCCUCAUAACUCCCACAUAUGACUGAAAACAUCAGUGUUUGGUUUUCCAUUCCUGAGUUACUUCACUUAGAAUAAUAGUCUCCAAUUCCAUCCAGGUUGCUGUGAAUGCCAUUAUUUCAUUCCUUUUUAUGGCUCGGUAGUAUGGAACACUAGCUUUAAAGUGCAAAGGAAAACAACUUUCAACCUGGAAUUCUGUACCCAGCUAACCAACCAUUAAGGUUGAAGCUUGGAUGCGAUUCCUUUCCCUUCCUCUUCAAAUGACUGAUGAACUUCAUCCUGAGUCGAAUAGUGGAGCUUCUCAGUAUUUCUUCAUUUGAGGUCGAGGGUAAAUUGCCUAUAGUUUCAGUCUGACAGCUACUCACUUAGGACCCAUUUUAACUAAUGAACAGUUUCUGUUUUACUAGUAGUUGAUAACUGUCAGAAGUUUUUUGAAAGGGUCGAAAGAAGAACCCCAGCCAGAUGGGCAGCAGUGUGGAAAAUAUAGAUUGAAAUGGCGUUAGAAAGAGGUCAAAGAAGGUGUAUUUUGGGGGAAUGUAAAAAAAUGAAGUCUGGUAGAAGGAUUUGGGGAAGAACUGACAUGACUAUAUAAUAUGGAGGGAUGUCACUCAAGGAGCCUGGAGAACAGCAAAGAUGGGUGCUUGCUCCUUCUUCUGGGACCUCUGACCUCGAGGGGCACCAACCUGAUGCUACUAGGAUCGUUCCUGCAUAGGAUGUCUGACAUCCCUUGUUAGAAGGUCUCACCCAGUUGGGUGGCAUGGGGAGCAAGACCCCUUUAACAAAGCACUUUGUCCUUUGGUGGAGAGGGUGUGCUUUGCUGCAGGGAAUCCCACUUGUCUGGGCUGCCUGGAUUCCUCAGAACUACCAGGAGGAGAGGCAAGUCUGCUGGUCUGCAGAGACUGCGUCCACCCCUCCCGCUAGGGGCUCAGGCCCAGGGAGAUCCGAAUUCUGUCCCUGAGCCUCUGGUUGGAGUUAUUGGAGAUCGUGCAUGGAAGCCCCACCCAAUGAGGAAGGAUGGGUCAGGUUUAGGCCUGAAGAGGCACUCUGGCCACAGACUGCCACAGCCGGUUGGGCUGUGGGGACAAGUCUUGGGACCA
rnacentral:lncRNA from 1 species